CGGCUGGAGGCCAACCACGGGCUGCUGGUGGCGCGCGGGAAGCUCCACGUUCUGCUCUUCAAGACUCUGGCUGCGGAGGUAAAAGGUUUCCCUUGUGUAAUUAAGGAGUGAGUUUCGGGCUGCUGGGGGUAAGGGGCUGCCAGGAUCAGUGCUGUGUCCGUCACAUGCAGGAGGAGGGUGAAGUCCCAGCCAGCGCUUUCCAGAAGGCACCAGAGCCCUUGGGCCCGGCGGACCAGUCCGAGCUGGGCCCAGAGCAGCUGGAGGCCGAAGUUGGAGAGAGCUCGGACGAGGAGCCGGUGGAGUCCAGGGCCCAGCGGCUGCGGCGCACCGGAUUGCAGAAGGUACAGAGCCUCCGAAGGGCCCUUUCGGGCCGGAAAGGCCCUGCAGCGCCACCGCCCACCCCGGUCAAGCCGCCUCGCCUUGGGCCUGGCCGGAGCGCUGAAGCCCAGCCGGAAGCCCAGCCUGCGCUGGAGCCCACGCUGGAGCCAGAGCCUCCGCAGGACACCGAGGAAGAUCCCGGGAGACCUGGGGCUGCCGAAGAAGCUCUGCUCCAAAUGGAGAGUGUAGCCUGAGGGCUGGUGUUGCCUGCCUCCCCUGUGCUUGUG
rnacentral:sRNA from 1 species